rnacentral:lncRNA from 10 species
GUAUCAUAAAAGCUAUUCAAAUUAUAGCCCGGAAAGUAAAAAAGACUGGAAAAAUUUUUAGAGGCCUUAGAAUACAAUAUAAAUGGACACUAAAAGAAAGUUUUGAAGUUCACAGCAAUUAUUUUGUAGAAUAUUUCUCAAUUUAGAUUUAUCUGAUAUUAUCUAAUGGUUAGAUUUAGGUUACAAAUUUUUGGCAAGAAUCCCACAAAGUGUAACUAUGUUCAUCUUAGAGCCUCACAUCCAGAAGUGCAUAGUAUUGGUUUGUUAUGUGAUUUUUUUGUUUUUACCUUGAGACAGAGACUUGCUUUGUUGCCUAGGCUGGACUGAAGUGGCAUGAUCACAGCUCGCUGCAACCUUAACCUCUUGGUCUCAAUUGAUCCUCCUACCUGAACCUCUCAAGUAGAGCUGGGACUACAGUGCACACCACCAUGCCCAGCAAUGUGUGAAAGAGCCUCUUUCCCUACUGCUUCACCAAGUUUAAAACUUCAAAUUUUUUCAACUUGAUAGGGUAUAACCAGGAGUUGCGAAGUGGUCGUAGUUGUUCAUGUCUCAAUCUGGAUCAUCUUUGCUUUUUGCUUCUGCUUUGUGCUAUCCCUCUUCCCGUACCUCAGUUCUAUCUGGAACCAUGAUCUGUGACUGCCAUGGAAAAGUGUUGGGCAGGAGGAGGCCAGCUGGGUCUUUGAAGUUGACAAUGGAGCCAGGAAUGAAAGCUGCACUUAGGAUGAGAAUUGCUUUCCCUGGAGCCAAGUCAGCAAAUGCAGUCUGGUUGUCAGAGCUGAGAGGCUUCACCAAGUCAAGUAGGGGAGGACAUCUUCACUCUGCAACUUGCCCUACUGAAUGCAGAAAGUACUGUCUACUUAGAUAAAGCCUACACUAAAAGGGAAUUGAAUCUCUGCAAAUAAGUAUGUGGAUCUAAUUUCUACCUUCCAGAUUAAAAGUAUAAUUAAAAAUGAAAACCUUUGUAGGACUAAAUUGAUUUUGCAGACAAAUCUCACUUCUUAGCUUGAGCUGACUUAUUCCCAAUCUUAAACCCUAAUUAAUAACAUACAAGAAU